UACGGAGGGUGCGAGCGUUGUCCGGAAUCACUGGGCGUAAAGGGCGCGUAGGCGGCUUCUCAAGCGUGUGGUGAAAGUCCGGGGCUCAACCCCGGAUCGGCCGUGCGGACUGGGGAGCUCGAGUUCUGUAGAGGCGGGUGGAAUUCCGGGUGUAGCGGUGGAAUGCGUAGAGAUCCGGAGGAACACCAGUGGCGAAGGCGGCUGCCUGGGCCUGGCCUGACGCUGAGGCGCGAAAGCGUGGGGAGCAAUCCGG
rnacentral:rRNA from 1 species